rnacentral:rRNA from 1 species
AUUGAACGCUGGCGGCAUGCCUUACACAUGCAAGUCGAACGGCAGCACGGGAGCAAUCCUGGUGGCGAGUGGCGAACGGGUGAGUAAAGUAUCGGAACGUGCCCAGUCGUGGGGGAUAACGUAGCGAAAGUUACGCUAAUACCGCAUACGACCUAGGGAUGAAAGCGGGGGAUCGCAAGACCUCGCGCGAUUGGAGCGGCCGAUAUCAGAUUAGGUAGUUGGUGGGGUAAAGGCCCACCAAGCCGACGAUCUGUAGCUGGUCUGAGAGGACGACCAGCCACACUGGGACUGAGACACGGCCCAGACUCCUACGGGAGGCAGCAGUGGGGAAUUUUGGACAAUGGGCGCAAGCCUGAUCCAGCCAUGCCGCGUGCAGGAUGAAGGCCUUCGGGUUGUAAACUGCUUUUGUACGGAACGAAAAGGUUUGACUUAAUACGUUGGACUCAUGACGGUACCGUAAGAAUAAGCACCGGCUAACUACGUGCCAGCCGCCGCGGUAA